CGAGGAGCAGUGGCGCCUGGGUAAAAUAUUGCGCGGACCAGCACCAAAUCCGGCAUGGCGGCGCGUGAUGCACUAAAAACUCGACGCGAGUCGCAAAACCAGUCGCGUAGUGGGGAGAGAAUCUUUAUUAUUCAACGAGGAGAAGUCAUUCUUUCGUAUUAGAUUUCCAUGGAGAUUCGAAUUACUCCCUGGAUCGAGAUAUGUUGUUCCGUACAAUGACCUCGAGCAACGAUGUUUUUAAAUGUACGAACGAGAGAAUUCGCGUUUCACGAACGUUCGAGUCGAGCAACACGAUCGCCACCUGGUAGCUCCGUUUCCAAACAUACGUGCCGCGCAAGUGAAUUAUUACGAAACGAAUUGGUCUCGCUGUUCGUUCCUGUUCGAAUUUCGUAGGAAAUAAACAGGCGAAGAGUCGAGAGCGAAAGAAGCAGAGAACCACGAUGAACCGACCGCAUGAAACUGAGGAAGCCGUAGCAAUGGAAAAGAACGCAUGGGCUGACAGUAAUACUCCGAUAAUAUAGAUUACCGUGUCAGCUGUACAACUCGUGGAAAUAUAAAGUUUCGUCGUGCAACGUCUCUCCGGAAUCGACAAAGUCGGCUGUGUCGGGUUUGCGGAGGAUGCUUCUUUGAGAUUUUAAUUGGUUUUCGCGUGCACCAUGCUGGGACAAAUCGUGGGUUGCUUUUGAAAGUUUGGAAAAUCGUGACGACGUCGGCGAAAAGGAUCGAGAAUACGUAACAUCGCAGAAUUUAUCGAUCGCGUCGUAAUGGAAUUUAUACUUGUGGAUUCCAAGAAUUCGAUACAGUUUUAAGAGCUAAUUCAACUUACUUCUAAUAUAACGUACGAUGUGAAAAUAUUUGAAGGAAAUUCGUAAGUAACUCUAUAUACGUCAGAUAUAUUACAAUAGUAUUCAACUUCAACAACCACGUUUAUAAAAAUAACCGUGAAGAUCCUAUGUUAAACUCGUUAUAAAAGUACCAACAGCAUCCUUAUCCUUUGGAAACUCUUGUUACAAAUAUUAUCAACGUCAAUUUUUAUUGAAACAGCAACAGCGUCACCUGUAUUUUACUUAUUUUCUAUCGCGUUAUAUCACUUUAAUCUCUUGUCGCAUAAAAUCAAUUUCUAAUUUUAAUUCUAUGGAUAUGUAGCAUAUUUAAGAUCCGUACUACUAAUAUCAAAGAUCAAAACUCCCAGAAUUAAAAAACAUCUUCCGUCAAAAAUCCGAUAAUUUUUCGUCAUAGCAACAUGUCGAUUUUCCGAGGGAGCGUGUUUCUUUUUACUCGCGGAAACACGACCAGUCGACGGAAUAGAACCGCGAUAAAUUAACGCGCGUAUCUGGCGUGCCACGCCGUUUCCUUCUCCCUUUCGCGACCCUCCAGCUGCUCGACGACGACGAUUUCGUUUCACCCGAGUGCCACGGACAGCUCUCGUAAAGAGAAUCGAUCGCGCAAAACCUAGCCCCUCCAGCUCUUUCGGUGUUUCCAACCUUCGGUAAAAUGCUCGAUCGAUGAAUGGAAUUUAACAUCGUCGAUUGCCAUCGAUGGCAUAUACCUGAAUAUUUUCGACGUUUCAACGUUCUGUCGCUUUGCAUUUUUGUUCGACUAAAUUGCCAGGACUGAUGGUUUUGUUCAAUGGUGAAAUGCGCUCAUUAAUAUCGGAACAUUGACCGAGAUUUUUAAUUCCGAUUUGAAACGAUGCAUAUUUUUCGAUUUAAAUAGCAAUGAAGAACAGGGAUUUUAACGUAAGCGUCUCUUAGGUCCCGAAAGAGGAGAACAUUUAAAAAUCGACGAAGAAAUGUAUCCGAGGGCAAAUUAUUAUUAAGAAUGAUUUCAAUUACCGAGUUUUGUCUACUAAUUUGCGAUAUGAUUCGUAAUUUAAGCAUUUCGAAUUGUGACUUGUAAUUUGACGUGGAAUUUUCGUUUAUUUAUAGGGAAGUUACAAAGGAAUAUAAAAUGUUGAAAAUGUUG